GCUUGUAUAGCUUAGUGGUAGAGCGUUGCACUUGUAAUGCAAAGGUCACCUGUUCAAUCCAGGUUAUGAGCA
rfam:Arthrobotrys oligospora ATCC 24927 unplaced genomic scaffold scaffold00215, whole genome shotgun sequence.